rnacentral:rRNA from 1 species
AUUGAACGCUGGCGGUAUGCUUUACACAUGCAAGUCGAACGGUAACAGGUCUUCGGAUGCUGACGAGUGGCGAACGGGUGAGUAAUGUAUCGGAACGUGCCUAGUAAUGGGGGAUAACCACUCGAAAGAGUGACUAAUACCGCAUAAUAUCUCAGGAUGAAAGCGGGGACCGUAAGGCCUCGCGUUAUUAGAGCGGCCGAUAUCAGAUUAGGUAGUUGGUGGGAUAAAAGCCUACCAAGCCAACGAUCUGUAGCUGGUCUGAGAGGACGACCAGCCACACUGGGACUGAGACACGGCCCAGACUCCUACGGGAGGCAGCAGUGGGGAAUUUUGGACAAUGGGCGAAAGCCUGAUCCAGCAAUACCGCGUGCAGGACGAAGGCCUUCGGGUUGUAAACUGCUUUUGUACGGAACGAAACGGUUCAGAUUAAUACUCUGAACUAAUGACGGUACCGUAAGAAUAAGCACCGGCUAACUACGUG